GCCAGAGUAGCUCAGGUGGUUAGAGCAGCGGAAUCAUAAUCCGCGUGUCGGGGGUUCGAAUCCCUCCUCUGGCA
rnacentral:tRNA from 1 species